rnacentral:lncRNA from 1 species
GGGGUGUAGAAAGUAAAAGCACACAAAUUAAUUAAAAUAAAAUGAAAAGAUAGAGGUGUGAACGCGGAAAAGAGGAAAAAUAUAUAUUUAGAUAGAUUUGGAUUUAAAAGUCUAUUAUUUUAAGUGAGGGAAUAUUAGAGAUAGGGUUUGGGUGAUUUAUAUAUAAGGGUAGGGGUGACAUUUGUUUUAGAAACUCUAGAAACCCUACAUCAAAAAAGAGAAACAGAGAAAGAUGUUAAAGACAAAAUCGUUUAUAUGAACAAACGAUCUCAUGUUUUGAAGUUUA